UGUGGGUGAAGGGGAGAAAGCAAACAAAACACACUGCCAUGUGUGUACCUAUGCAACUGUAUUGCAUGCUCUGCACAUGUACCCCAAAACCUAAAAUGCAAUAAAAAAAAAAAAAAGAAAAACUGGACACAAUACAUAACUAAAAAAGGAAAAAAAAAAGAGAGAUAUACAGUGGCUUCAAGUGCACACAUAAUGUUCUCUUUGUUAAGCUAGGUGGUGAGUAUACUGCAUCUGUAUACCUCUUUAUAGAUUUGAAAUAGUUUAUAAUCAACAUUUUUAAAGAAACAAACCAGCACAUUGCCAAAACAAAAACAAAAAUAGAACAAAAUUUAAAAACCUCAACCAGAAACCAAAAAAGAGUUGAUAGGCUUGAAUAUGAUACCAAGAAGGGUGCAAAGGAGGAAAAUAGGUAUCUGCCAGCCUAGCCUUGUAUAUUUGUCUUGUUAGUAAAUACUGGAGUCACUUAAUGUCUCGGCCCUCACUCCAUCUGCUCCACUCAUGGAAGCUAGCCCACCCCAGGGGCAGGGCCCACCAGCCCAGCCAAAUUAGCCCACUUGCCUAGCAGUCCCUGGAAAGAACAGAAAGUUUACAACCCAAAAGAAUGGUCACUGGCCAGAUACAAACUUGCCAGAGUGAAUGCUCACAGCAUAUGAAUGCUCAGACUGCUUCACAAAAUCAAUCCAAUCAUUCUCCUUUGGUCUCAGAAAGGGUCCUGGCAACUAGAACUCCUAAAAUGAUUAAAGAUUUCCUAGGCUAUUUAAAAUGUUUCAAGGGAACAAAAUUAAGGUGUGGAAAUCCCAGGCUUCAGGUAUGGGGAUGAGAGAGGAUGAAGAGAAUUUUCAGAGUGUCAGAUGCCUCUGAAAUGACAACAUACUGUAAUGAGCAUCUCUCUUCCUUGCGGAGGGCAUCCAAAUAUCUGGAGAAGCUGGUUUGGGAAUGACAUUCAGGGUGAAUACGCUCUGCCCUCCACUCAGUGCAUCAUGGAGAGGCUACCAACCCCCAGUCCUCUCACCAUCCACACAGCUUCACGGCAGUGGAGUUAGCUGAUGGAACUUCUGAUUACUUUUGAAUUAUGCAAAGAAUCUAAAAUUCUGGAGCCAAUCCUUGUUCAGAAUAAAGGUUUACAAGGAGACAAGUAGUUACCACUAAUUGAACAACAGCCACUUCUCAGACACUGGAGUCUAUGCUUCACUCAUAUCACUCAGUAUCCUCACAAUACUGCCAAGUGGACAUAAUGAUUUAUAUUCAUUUCAUGAAGAAGUUUAAGAUCAAUUAUCUUAAAUAACUGGCCUACAGUCACACAGAAGGCAGGCUUUGUUAUAGAAACAUAAGACCUGGCACCAUAAAAACCCUAGAAGGAAAUCUAGGCAAAACUAUCCAGGACAUAGGAGUAGGCAAGGACUUCAUGAACAAAACACCAAAAGCAUUGGCAACAAAAGCCAAAAUAGACAAAUGGGACCUAAUGAAACUCCACAGCUUCUGCACGGCAAAAGAAACAGUCACUAGAGUGGAUCGGCAACCAACAGAAUGGGAAAAAAUUUUCGCAGUCUACCCAUCUGACAAAGGGCUGAUAUCCAGAAUUUACAAAGAACUCAAGCAGAUUUACAGGAAAAAAACAAACAAGCCCAUUCAAAAGUGGGCAAAGGAUAUGAACAGAUACUUACGAAAGAAGACAUAUAUGAGGCCAACAAUCAUAUGAAAAAAUGCUCAUCGUCACUGGUCAUCAGAGAGAUGCAAAUCAAAACCACAUUGAGAUACCAUCUCACGCCAGUUAGAAUGGCGAUCAUUAAAAAAUCUGGAGACAACAGAUGCUGGAGAGGAUGUGGAGAAAAAGGAACACUUUUACACUGUUGGUGGGAGUGUAAAUUAGUUCAACCAUUGUGGAAGACGGUGUGGCGAUUCCUCAAGGCCUUAGAAAUAGAAAUUCCAUUUGACCCAGCAAUCCCAUUACUGGGUAUAUAUCCAAAAGACUAUAAAUCGUUCUACUAUAAGGACACAUGUACACGAAUGUUCAUUGCAGCACUGUUUACAAUAGCAAAGACCUGGAAUCAACCCAAAUGCCCAUUGAUAAUAGACUGGAUUGGAAAAAUGUGGCACAUAUACACCAUGGAAUAUUAUGCAGCAAUCAGAAAUGAUGAGUUCGUGUCAUUUGUAGGGACAUGGAUGAAUCUGGAGAACAUCAUUCUCAGCAAACUGACACAAGAACAGAAAAUGAAACACCGCAUAUUCUCACUCAUAGGCGGGUGAUGAAAAAUGAGAACACAUGGACACAGAAAGGGGAGUACUAAACACUGGGGUCUA